rnacentral:rRNA from 1 species
GACGAACGCUGGCGGCGUGCUUAACACAUGCAAGUCGAACGGAAAGGCCCUGCUUUUGUGGGGUGCUCGAGUGGCGAACGGGUGAGUAACACGUGAGUAACCUGCCCUUGACUUUGGGAUAACUUCAGGAAACUGGGGCUAAUACCGGAUAGGAGCUCCUGCUGCAUGGUGGGGGUUGGAAAGUUUCGGCGGUUGGGGAUGGACUCGCGGCUUAUCAGCUUGUUGGUGGGGUAGUGGCUUACCAAGGCUUUGACGGGUAGCCGGCCUGGGAGGGUGACCGGCCACAUUGGGACUGCGGUACGGCCCAGACUCCUACGGGGGGCAGCAGUGGGGAAUAUUGCACAAUGGGCGGAAGCCUGAUGCAGCAACGCCGCGUGCGGGAUGACGGCCUUCGGGUUGUAAACCGCUUUCGCCUGUGACGAAGCGUGAGUGACGGUAAUGGGUAAAGAAGCACCGGCUAACUACGUG